rnacentral:pre_miRNA from 1 species
UUAAUUGGGUCCUGAUCCAAGGCUUAUGAUAGUCAAUGGGAGUCUUUUCAUUGGCUUAAAUGGGAUUUGGAUCAGGCCUAUAGUGA